ensembl:snRNA U5 U5 spliceosomal RNA
AUACUCUGGUUUCUCUUCAGAUCGUAUAAAUCUUUUGCCUUUUACUAAAGAUUUARCCUGGAGAAGAGAAGGCUGAGGGGKGAUCUUACCARYGUAUACAAAUAUCUAAAGGGAGGGUGUC